GCAGUUGUUCUCUUGCACAGGGUGUGACAAGAAUAUUAAGUUCGUCUUCGUCAGUGGAUGUUGUUAUGCGUAAUCUCCUGUAUUGGAGCGGGGCUCAUGUAACAUGGCAUUUGAUGAUGCAUGCAUGGCGAGGAAUGAUUAACAGGUUGUUACGCCGUGUUCCUCUGGAGAGUCUUUGGAAAACCCAGGGAAAACCUCGGACAGCACAGUUGGUGGUAGGAUUCGAACCUACCACCUCCAAGUCUUCAGCACGACGUUGCAUGGCUACCACCAAUGAGCGGGGCUCGUUUCUUGAGCUCGACCGGCCGGCCAUGCCGCUGGUCGAUGCCGUUCAAUAAGGAUACGAUCUCAACACGUAUAUAAAA